rnacentral:rRNA from 1 species
GCUACGGGUGGCAGCAGUGAGGAAUAUUGGUCAAUGGGCGAGAGCCUGAACCAGCCAAGUCGCGUGAAGGAUGAAGGAUCUAUGGUUUGUAAACUUCUUUUAUAGGGGAAUAAAGUGAGGAACGUGUUCCUUUUUGUAUGUACCAUAUGAAUAAGCAUCGGCUAACUCCGUGCCAGCAGCCGCUGUAAUACGGAGGAUGCGAGCGUUAUCCGGAUUUAGUGGGUUUAAAGGGUGCGUAGGUGGUUAAUUUAGUCAGCGGUGAAAGUUUGUGGCUCAACCAUAAAAUUGACGUUGAAACGUGUUGACUUUAGUAUAUUUGAGGUAGUCGGACUGCGUGGUGUAGCGGUGCAAUGC